rnacentral:lncRNA from 1 species
GGGAUUCAAACUCAGACCUCUCUGUUUACUUCGAACAGAACAACCAACUCAGCUGUCUCACCUAAUAUGUUUAGCUUUUUCUUCCUAUUUCCCAUGCCUCCUGGAUUCUAUUCGUUUUUUUUUACUAGGACAGGCUUUUCAUCAGUUUUUACAUUUUCCUUUUUACCUCCAUCCUGGGCCUAGCCCAUUUUUUUUCUUUUCUUUUUUAACCUUCAACAAAUAUGUGUGUGAGGUAGGAUUGAACUAUAACCAACCGCGACGAUUCACUUCUUGUGCCCAGUUACUUCUUUUGUUCUUCUUCUUGUGCAUCUUCUCAGUCUAUUCUUUUUGUUUUGUUUGUCCUAUUUUUCUUCAAUUUUACUUGUUUUCAUUUUCCUUAUUUCUUCUUCUUUUCUCUUUUCUUUUUUGUACAGGUCACAUUUCAAGGUUUUUAUUCUGAAAUUUUACACACAUAGACAUAACAUACUUGUUUACCUGCACAAUUUUUUUCAGAUUUUUUGAAACCGGAAAGUUUGAAUUUUGAUUUGUUUCCAAAUAAAGGCCUCCAUGGCUCCCGGGAGCCAAACGUCCACAAUCUCAUUCUAGCAAACAAAUUUUCUUUCCAAAUACAUGUCUUUCUGAUAUGAUGAGACAACAGCAGUUGGAAGUCAUAGCACCACUUUGCCAUUAAGUUAAUUUGUGAAUAAAAAUUCAUAUAAGUUAAUUUGUGUAUAUAUCAUCUGAUUAGCUAUGUGUGGUAGAGCCUUAGAUCAGUACUGUGUUCCAAAUAUUGUCCUCCGCAUUUGAGUCAGUUAUAUACUUUCCCGGCCAGUCCUAGUUAUUUUGUGGUCAGAAAACUUGUCUCAUGUAAUUCCAUGAACGAUUCAGACAUUUUUGUCAAGAAUUUUUGAUGUCAUCCUCCAUGCCUUCGCUUCCUCCUCCGUUGCCUCAAAUUAAUGCAGCUUGCUGUUACCCACGGCACCACAGCAGGACAUGCUCUAGCCGUAUCUCCGCCUCCGGCAGAACUCAAACAAGAGGUAGCUUUCUUUUCUUUUCUUUUUAGCGGAGUAUAAUUGUCCAAUUAAGACCCAUUUAGAACAGAGGGAACAAAGAACUACAAACAUGUCAACGUGCAACUCACGUCUACAAUUACCUUGACUAGUUUCUUAACACGCCUUGAAAUUAUCUUGAAUAAUUUGACUAGUACAAUUAUGUUAUCAUCUAAUAAAUGUUCUCAGUUUCUCGACGAACGACCACUCAAAGUAUUCGUGUUGUAGUUCUCAUCGAUGAGCUAAAGAAUGCGUGGUUGUUCCCGGAUAUGAAGAAAAAAAACCACAAGUCAACUGUCAAUGCACCAAUUCAGACAGAUGAUUUGCCAGGUGAUGAAGCCUUAAACUAAUGAGCUCUUACGCUGUUGCGAGUUGUUGGACACUGCAGUUGAUUCCAUAAUAUACUUGGCCAACUGCUCCAUAGUAUCGUAUCAUUUUCCUAUAACUAAAUAGUUGAUCUCCACUACUCCCUUCAUUUCAGUUUACAAGUCAUACGGGUAUACCUAGGUUGCCAAUUUUAUCACCCUAAUAUAAACUAUAUAACACAAAAAUUAUACCGUUUGAAAAUAGAACAUCUGAAGUUUAUAUUGGUAUAUUUUUUGUAAUAUAUAACUUGUAUUAGGUUGGUCAAAUUGACGACCUAGAGGUACGCGCACGCCCUGUAAACUGAGAGAGGGAGUAACGUAUUUAUCUGAACAUGCAAUUAUACCACCUCAUUAAACAAUUAUGAAUGGAUAAAGCCCCGCCUCAACAUGCAAGAUGCAUGCAAAAAGACUCAAAUGCCUUAACUACUCCCUAUAUAUAAGUCUAUUUAAAGAUUCCAAUACGGAUUAGAGAUGUAGCAAAAUAAGUGAACCUACACUCUAAAACACGUCUAUAUACAUUCGUAUGUAGUCCGCAUUGAGAUAUCUAAAAAGACUUAUAUUAAGAAAUGGAGGGACUAUUAUGCUACUUAUAUUCAAUAAAUAUUUUAUAAUUACAUGUAUUUUCUAUUUUACUUCUUAUAUUAUUAAUUCAAAUAUUUAUGUACAUAUAAUGCAAUGUUUACUGAAUAUAAUCAAAUACAAAUUCGAGUUCCAAAUUGAUAUUUCCUCACGUAACCAAUAAAUUGAAUAUUCAUGUUCAUAUAAUCAAAUCUUACUAAAUAUAACCUCCAUCUCAAAUUACUUGUCUUAGAUUUGUCUAGAUAUUGAUGUAUCUAACCCUAAAACGUGUCUAAAUAUGUCUGUAUCUACACAAAUCUAAGUCCAGUAAAUUAAGACAGAGAGAGUAUAUAACAAUCAAUUGCUUUGUUAUACAAAAUUGUGGCAAGUAACCUAUCUCAUGUCAGUAUAUACUGUAUUAACACUAAAAGGUGUCUAAAUAUUUAUGUAUCUAGACAAAUCUAAGUCAUGUAAAUUGAGACGGAGAGAAUAUAUAAUAAGCAAUUGCUUUGUUAUACAAAAUUGUGGCAAAUAACCUGUCUCAUGUCAGUAUAUCAUUCCGUUACCCUAAUCCGAGCUGCUGGCUGUUCCACUACCCAAGACAGCUUGCUCUUCCUCCAUUCCGCCCUUGCCAGUCAUGUUUGCAAUAGCGAUUGGAUUUUGUCUAACCGUUGAAGUUACCAAAAAAAUAAAAAUAACAAGCUGCUCUCGCCAUCGGCAAAGUCAGGACAGCCCAAACUUGUUACUGUGAUACAGGCUCUGGUUGCUCUUCCCUCUCAGCCACGGUGGUCCGGUGGGGUGGUGAUGUGCCUCACGACAUGUCUUUUGUUCUUCUUCAGAAGCUUGUCGGGGUCUGCCUCUCUCCGCGUGUCAUAUCGGAUCUGAUUCACUCGGCCGAACCAGAUUAGGUUGUCAAAUUGGUGGUGUUAAAGGAUAAUGCACAUAAAACUCCCAAUAUGAUUUGUGGUUUGAUUGAUUUUCUACAUGAUACUUCAUUAUAUCAUAACAUAUCUAACUAGCUAUUUUAAGAAUUUAUCAUGAAUAUUUUAAUGUUAUAAUAUAUAAAAUGGUGGCAUCAGUAUGUAUGUUUCUCUACCGAACAGCCACUAGAAGUUGUUGUGAUGUAGUUCUCAUCAUCUAGCUAAAGAAUAAAAGGUUGUUCCUGGAUUUAAUAGACAAACACAGGUGCAGCGACUUUUGAACGAACAAUUCAGGUUCAAACAAAAUUUGGUUGUCUCGUACCUCUAGAUGCAAAAAGAUAUACCAUUGCGCUCCAAUACAUAAGACACGAAAUGUGAAGAAAAAAAUUAGAAAACGACAAAAUGUGAGCUCGUCUUAUGUUUUAUUGACCUGACUGACCUGGGCGAUGAUUAAUGUGAGCCACGAGAUAACGACACCACUGGGAAACAAUACAGCUUGCUAGAUGUAAGUUCUUCGCAAUGGUGACUUAAUCAAGUUUCUGCUCAAUCAUAAUUGUAGGGCCCGCCAUCGUCGACCCUUGUUCCAUGUGGCAGAGCUGCUUGUCGGGGGCGAUGAGGCUGUCCAGCGCAGCGAGCCUCGACAUGGCACUCAUCCACACCUCCUGCUGCCGGUCUUGGGCCAAAGCGUGGACCAGUUGUGGCCGGCAAACUCCAGGCAUCGUCAUAGUUGCGAAAUAGCUUGCCCUGGUAGUCCGUGCACUGAUCGCUGAAGUCAGCAACGGUGAUCAGCACGCGCUGGGAAGCGCCCCGGCUCCCCUGUCUGGAUGUACCACACCACCACGCAAUCUUCAGGGACCACCGACCACAGCUUCAUGCGCCACAGCUCCGCCUUCUCCGUCCUAUCGCCACCGGAGCAUGCGUGCUGGUGGCGAUGGCGCAUGUAAGACAGAGCCGAAGGUUCAUGCUGCACCUAUGAGUUGGAGUAGGAUGAGAUGAUGAGGUCGCAGCGGCACCAACAUUGUCACCAUCAUCGUCGUUCACCACAGAGACGAAUACCAAGUGUUUGGCAAAAUGCAUGAGCCAAUUGAAAGAUCCGCUAAAUUUUGGGGAUCGGCUAGAAAUGACCAAAAUUUAGAGAAGUAAACAUACUCCUGUAAAGAAUACUCGGCCAUUUACUAUUCUAAAUUUUAGGGGAUCGACUAGAGAUGGCCUUUAUAUGAUCUCAGUUUCUCAACGAAUGACCACUCAAAGUUGUUGUGCUGUAGUUCUCAUCGACGAGCUAAAGAAUGCGUGGUUGUUUCCGUACAAGAGAAAAAAGUCAACCUUUCGACACUCUAUGUCAGAUAUCACUUGAUUUGCUAUGUCAUGGAGACCUAAACUAAUUAUGCGUUAUGCUGUUGCCGGCUGUUGGCAUUCGCUGUUUAUUCCAUAAUAUAACUGGUCUACUAUCUCUUGAUUUGCCAUGUGAUGGUGACUUAAACUAAUGAGCUGUUACGCUAUUGCCAGCUGUUGGCAUCAGCAGUUUAUUCCAUAAUAUAAUUGGUCAAUUGCUCUAGAGUCCUGGUUCAAGCUUUUGUGUCAUAUUGUUAUACAAAAUUGUGGAGUAAACUGUUCCAUGUCAUUAAUAACUAUUGCGUUGAAAACCGGCUCAUCAGGGUUUAAGUCCUACACUAGGCACUAGUGCUCGCACUUUUCUAGAUUUAUUAUUUCAGACUUUUAGGCGAUAUUCAUUCACUGAAAAUCUAGAGAAGACGUUCCCGUCGACUACAAGGUGUCUAUGAUGACUGUCUAUUCUAAGAUGUUGUGUCAGUUCAGUAUCUUGUAGGUGCUCGUAGAGGUAACGUGUGCAUGCAUUCGUUCAUAAGAGUAAGUGUAUAUGCUUAUGUGAGGAUGUGCGAUUGUAUUAAAAGAAAACUAUUAUGUUAUUUUGGUCCAAGCUGUUGCUUGUUCCACUCCGCAUGACAACACUUCCUCCAUUCCGUCCUUGCCAGCCAUUUUGUCAAACCACAGAAGAUACAAAAAAAUGAUUAUGAUCUGCAAUGACAUCGGCCUAAUCAAGACAGCUCAAACUCGUUACUUCCAAGCCGGCUUUGGUUGCUCCUCCUUUUCUGCCAUGGCUGUGCGGUGUGGUGGUGCGGUGCCUCGUCACAUGUCUUUUGUGCUUCUUCGGAAGCCUGCCAGGGUCGACAUCUCUGGGAAAGUAAGGCUAGAUCUGACUCGCUCUGCGAACCAAAUUAGGUUUUUAAAAUGGUGGGUUAAAUGAAAAGUUGCAUGAAAACUCCCAAAAUGUUCUAUGCUUUGAUUGAUUUUCUCCACGAUACUUCAUCAUAUCAUAGCAUGUCCAAUUAGUUGUUUUCAAAAUUUAUUAUGAAUAUAUUGAUGUCAUAAUAUAUAAAAUGGUGCCAUCAGUAUGCAUGUUUCUCUACCUAAGAACCAGUCCAAGUUGUUGUGAUGUAGUAGUUCUUAUCGACUAGCUAAAUAAUGCAAGGAUGUUCCUGGAUUUAAUAGAAAAACAUAAGUACAAUGACUUUGGAACAUACUCUUCAGGUCCAAACAAAGCUUUGUUGACUUAUACCUCUAGAUGCGAAAAAAUCAACAUUGCAGUCCAAUACAUAAGACACAAAAUGUGAAGAAUUUUUUGUAGAAAUGACAAAACAUGAACUGAUCAUAUGUUUCAUUGCUGACUGACCGGAACGACGAUUUGUCACAGUCGCGACUUGAUGGAUAACGACACCAUUGGAAACAAUACAGAGCGUUGCUUCGGUACACCCCUCCUCACAAACCGUAUAAGGGCAGUAUGGUCAUUUGAUCAUAUGGUAUACCCACAUCCAUACGUGACACGUACAAGCCGUACAUAGACGUACAGAAACCAGUGCACACACCCCCGCAUCAUGGUCUCUGCCCAUUUUCAUUUUUUUUUCAAACUGGCGCACACACAUCCUCAUUAUUGGCUCAGCCCAGCUUCAUUUGCUUUUCAACCUUCAAAAAAUGUAGAGUGUGGUGGGAUUCAAACUCAGACCUCUCUGUUUACUUCGAACAGAACAACCAACUCAGCCGUCUCACCUAAUAUGUUUAGCUUUUUCUUCCUAUUUCCCAUGCCUCCUGGAUUCUAUUCGGUUUUUUUUUGCUAGGACAGGUUUUUCAUCAGUUUUUACAUUUUCCUUUUUACCUCCAUCCCGGGCCUAGCCCAUUUUUUUUCUUUUCUUUUUUAACCUUCAACAAAUAUGUGUGUGAGGUAGGAUUGAACUAUAACCAACCGCGACGAUCCACUUCUUGUGCCUAGUUACUUCUUUUGUUCUUCUUCUUGUGCAUCUUCUCAGUCUAUUCUUUUUGUUUUGUUUGUCCUAUUUUUCUUCAAUUUUACUUGUUUUCAUUUUCCUCAUUUAUUCUUCUUUUCUCUUUUCUUUUUUGUACAGGGCACAUUUCAACGUUUUUCAUUCUGAAAUUUUACACACAUAGACAUAACAUACUUGUUUACCUGCACAAUUUUUUUCAGAUUUUUUGAAACCGGAAAGUUUGAAUUUUGAUUUGUUUCCAAAUAAAGGCCUCCAUGGCUCCCGGGAGCCAAACGUCCACAAUCUCAUUCUAGCAAACAAAUUUUCUUUCCAAAUACAUGCCUUUCUGAUAUGAUGAGACAAAAGCAGUUGGAAGUCAUAGCACCACUUUGCCAGUAAGUUAAUUUGUGAAUAAAAAUUCAUAUAAGUUAAUUUGUGUAUAUAUCAUCUGUUUAGCUAUGUGUGGUAGAGCCUUAGAUCAGUACUGUGUUCCAACUAUUGUCCUCCGCAUUUGAGUCAGUUAUAUACUUUCCCGGCCAGUCCUAGUUAUUUUGUGGUCAGAAAACUUGUCUCAUGUAAUUCCAUGAACGAUUCAGACAUUUUUGUCAAGAAUUUUUGAUGUCAUCCUCCAUGCCUUCGCUUCCUCCUCCGUUGCCUCAAAUUAAUGCAGCUUGCUGUUAGCCACGGCACCACAGCAGGACAUGCUCUAGCCGUAUCUCCGCCUCCGGCAGAACUCAAACAAGAGGUAGCUUUCUUUUCUUUUCUUUUUAGCGGAGUAUAAUUGUCCAAUUAAGACCCAUUUAGAACAGAGGGAACAAAGAACUACAAACAUGUCAACGUGCAACUCACGUCUACAAUUACCUUGACUAGUUUCUUAACACGCCUUGAAAUUAUCUUGAAUAAUUUGACUAGUACAAUUAUGUUAUCAUCUAAUAAAUGUUCUCAGUUUCUCGACGAACGACCACUCAAAGUAUUCGUGUUGUAGUUCUCAUCGAUGAGCUAAAGAAUGCGUGGUUGUUCCCGGGUAUGAAGAAAAAAAAACCACAAGUCAACUGUCAAUGCACCAAUUCAGACAGAUGAUUUGCCAGGUGAUGAAGCCUUAAACUAAUGAGUUGUUACGCUGUUGCGAGUUGUUGGCAACUGCAGUUGAUUCCAUAAUAUACUUGGCCAACUGCUCCAUAGUAUCGUAUCAUUUUCCUAUAACUAAAUAGUUGAUCUCCACUACUCCCUUCAUUUCAGUUUACAAGUCAUACGCGUAUACCUAGGUUGCCAAUUUUAUCACCCUAAUAUAAACUAUAUAACACAAAAAUUAUACCGUUUGAAAAUAGAACAUCUGAAGUUUAUAUUGGUAUAUUUUUUGUAAUAUAUAACUUGUAUUAGGUUGGUCAAAUUGACGACCUAGGGGUACGCGCACGCCCUGUAAACUGAGAGAGGGAGUAACGUAUUUAUCUGAACAUGCAAUUAUACCACCUCAUUAAACAAUUAUGAAUGUAUAAAGCCCCGCCUCAACAUGCAAGAUGCAUGCAAAAAGACUCAAAUGCCUUAACUACUCCCUAUAUAUAAGUCUAUUUAAAGAUUCCAAUACGGAUUACAGACGUAGCAAAAUAAGUGAACCUACACUCUAAAACACGUCUAUAUACAUUCGUAUGUAGUCCGCAUUGAGAUAUCUAAAAAGACUUAUAUUAAGAAAUGGAGGGACUAUUAUGCUACUUAUAUUCAAUAAAUAUUUUAUAAUUACAUGUAUUUUCUGUUUUACUUCUUAUAUUAUUAAUUCAAAUAUUUAUGUACAUAUAAUGCAAUGUUUAACUGAAUAUAAUCAAAUACAAAUUCGAGUUCCAAAUUGAUAUUUCCUCACGUAACCAAUAAAUUGAAUAUUCAUGUUCAUAUAAUCAAAUCUUACUAAAUAUAACCUCCAUCUCAAAUUACUUGUCUUAGAUUUGUCUAGAUAUUGAUGUAUCUAACCCUAAAACAUGUCUAAAUAUGUCUGUAUCUACACAAAUCUAAGUCCAGUAAAUUAAGACAGAGAGAGUAUAUAACAAUCAAUUGCUUUGUUAUACAAAAUUGUGGCAAGUAACCUAUCUCAUGUCAGUAUAUACUGUAUUAACACUAAAAUGUGUCUAAAUAUUUAUGUAUCUAGACAAAUCUAAGUCAAGUAAAUUGAGAUGGAGAGAGUAUAUAAUAAGCAAUUGCUUUGUUAUACAAAAUUGUGGCAAGUAACCUGUCUCAUGUCAGUAUAUCAUUCCGUUACCCUAAUCCGAGCUACUGGCUGUUCCACUACUCAAGACAGCUUGCUCUUCCUCCAUUCCGCCCUUGCCAGCCAUGUUUGCAAUAACGAUUGGAUUUUGUCUAACUGCCGAAGUUACCAAAAAAAUAAAAAUAACAAGCUGCUCUUGCCAUCGGCAAAGUCAGGACAGCCCAAACUUGUUACUGUGAUACAGGCUCUGGUUGCUCUUCCCUCUCAGCCACGGUGGUCCGGUGGGGUGGUGCUAUGUCUCACGACAUGUCUUUUAUUCUUCUUCAGAAGCUUGUCGGGGUCUGCCUCUCUCCGCGUGUCAUAUCGGAUCUGAUUCACUCGGCCGAACCAGAUUAGGUCGUCAAAUGGUGGUGUUAAAGGAUAAUGCACAUGAAAACUCCCAAUAUGAUUUGUGGUUUGAUUGAUUUUCUACAUGAUACUUCAUUAUAUCAUAACAUAUCUAACUAGCUAUUUUAAGAAUUUAUCAUGAAUAUUUUGAUGUUAUAAUAUAUAAAAUGGUGGCAUCAGUAUGUAUGUUUCUCUACCGAACAGCCACUAGAAGUUGUUGUGAUGUAGUUCUCAUCAUCUAGCUAAAGAAUAAAAGGUUGUUCCAGGAUUUAAUAGACAAACAUAGGUGCAGCGACUUUUGAACGAACAAUUCAGGUUCAAACAAAAUUUGGUUGUCUCGUACCUCUAGAUGCAAAAAGAUAUACCAUUGCGCUCCAAUACAUAAGACACGAAAUGUGAAGAAAAAAAAUUAGAAAACGACAAAAUGUGAGCUCGUCUUAUGUUUUAUUGAGCUGACUGACCUGGGCGAUGAUUAAUGUGAGCCACGAGAUAACGACACCACUGGGAAACAAUACAGCUUGCUAGAUGUAGGUUCUUCGCAGUGGUGACUUAAUCAAGUUUCUGCUCAAUCAUAAUUGUAGGGCCCGCCAUCGUCGACCCUUGUUCCAUGUGGCAGAGCUGCUUGUCGGGGGCGAUGAGUCUGUACAGCGCAGCGAGCCUCGACAUGGCACUCAUCCACACCUCCUGCUGCCGGUCUUGGGCCAAAGCGGGGACCAGUUGUGGCCGGCAAACUCCAGGCACCUGUCAUAGUUGCGAAAUAGCUUGCCCUGGUAGUCCGUGCACUGAUCGCUGAAGUCAGAACGGUGAUCAGCACGCGCUGUGAAGCGCCCCGGCUCCCCUGUCUGGAUGUACCACACCACCACGCACUCUUCAGGGACCACCGACCACAGCUUCAUGCGCCACAGCUCCGCCUUCUCCGUCCUAUCGCCACCGGAGCAUGCGUGCUGGUGGCGAUGGCGCAUGUAAGACAGAGCCGAAGGUUCAUGCUGCACCUAUGAGUUGGAGUAGGAUGAGAUGAUGAGGUCGUAGCGGCACCAGCAUUGUCACCAUCGUCGUCGUUCACCACAGAGACGAAUACCAAGUGUUCGGCAAAAUGCAUGAGCCAAUUGAAAGAUCCGCUAAAUUUUGGGGAUCGGCUAGAAAUGAUCAAAAUUUAGAGAAGUAAAAAUACUCCUGUAAAGAAUACUCGGCCAUUUACUAUUCUAAAUUUUAGGGGAUCGACUAGAGAUGGCCUAAUAUAUGAUCUCAGUUUCUCAACGAAUGACCACUCAAAGUUGUUGUGCUGUAGUUCUCAUUGACGAGCUAAAGAAUGCGUGGUUGUUUCCGUACAUGAUAAAAAAGUCAACCUUUCGACGCACUAUGUCAGAUAUCACUUGAUUUGCUAUGUCAUGGAGACUUAAACUAAUUAUGCGUUAUGCUGUUGCCGGCUGUUGGCAUUCGUUGUUUAUUCCAUAAUAUAACUGGUCAACUAUCUCUUGAUUUGCCAUGUGAUGGUGACUUAAACUAAUGAGCUGUUAUGCUAUUGCCAGUUGUUGGCAUCAGCAGUUUAUUCCAUAAUAUAAUUGGUCAAUUGCUCUAGAGUCCCGGUUCAAGCUUUUGUGUCAUAUUGUUAUACAAGAUUGUGGAGUAAACUGUUCCAUGUCAUUAAUAACUAUUGCGUUGAAAACCGGCUCAUCAGGGUUUAAGUCCUACACUAGGCACUAGUGCUCGCACUUUUCUAGAUUUAUUAUUUCAGACUUUUAGGCGAUAUUCAUUCACUGAAAAUCUAGAGAAGAUGUUCCCGUCGACUACAAGGUGUCUAUGAUGACUGUCUAUUCUAAGAUGUUGUGUCAGUUCAGUAUCUUGUAGGUGCUCGUAGAGGUAACGUGUGCAUGCAUUCGUUCAUAAGAGUAAGUGUAUAUGCUUAUGUGAGGAUGUGCGAUUGUAUUAAAAGAAAACUAUUAUGUUAUUUUGGUCCAAGCUGUUGCUUGUUCCACUCCGCAUGACAACACUUCCUCCAUUCCGUCCUUGCCAGCCAUUUUGUCAAACCACAGAAGAUACAAAAAAUGAUUACGAUCUGCAAUGACAUCGGCCUAAUCAAGACAGCCCAAACUCGUUACUUCCAAGCCGGCUUUGGUUGCUCCUCCUUUUCUGCCAUGGCUGUGCGGUGUGGUGGUGUGGUGCCUCGUGACAUGUCUUUUGUGCUUCUUCGGAAGCCUGCCAGGGUCGACAUCUCUGGGAAAGUUAGGCUAGAUCUGACUCGCUCGGCGAACCAGAUUAGGUUUUUAAAAUGGUGGGUUAAAUGAAAAGUCGCAUGAAAACUCCCAAAAUGUUAUAUGCUUUGAUUGAUUUUCUCCACGAUACUUCAUCAUAUCAUAGCAUGUCCAAUUAGUUGUUUUCAAAAUUUAUUAUGAAUAUAUUGAUGUCAUAAUAUAUAAAAUGGUGCCAUCAGUAUGCAUGUUUCUCUACCUAAGAACCAGUCCAAGUUGUUGUGAUGUAGUAGUUCUUAUCGACUAGCUAAAUAAUGCAAGGAUGUUCCUGGAUUUAAUAGAAAAACAUAAGUACAAUGACUUUGGAACAUACUCUUCAGGUCCAAACAAAGCUUUGUUGACUUAUACCUCUAGAUGCGAAAAAAUCAACAUUGCAGUCCAAUACCUAAGACACAAAAUGUGAAGAAUUUUUUGUAGAAAUGACAAAACAUGAACUGAUCAUAUGUUUCAUUGCUGACUGACCGGAACGACGAUUUGUCUCAGUCGCGAAUUGAUGGAUAACGACACCAUUGGAAACAAUACAGAGCGUUGCUUCGGUACACCCCUCCUCACAAACCGUAUAAGGGCAGUAUGGUCAUUUGAUCAUAUGGUAUACCCACAUCCAUACGUGACACGUACAAGCCAUACAUAGACGUACAGAAACCAGUGCACACACCCCCGCAUCAUGGUCACAGCCCAUUUUCAUUUUUUUUUCAAACUGGCGCACACACAUCCUCAUUAUUGGCUCAGCCCACCUUCAUUUGCUUUUCAACCUUCAAAAAAUGUAGAGUGUGGUGGGAUUCAAACUCAGACCUCUCUGUUUACUUCGAACAGAACAACCAACUCAGCUGUCUCACCUAAUAUGUUUAGCUUUUUCUUCCUAUUUCCCAUGCCUCCUGGAUUGUAUUCGGUUUUUUUUUUUGCUAGGACAGGAUUUUCAUCAGUUUUUCCAUUUUCCUUUUUACCUCCAUCCCGGGCCUAGCCCAUUUUUUUUCUUUUCUUUUUUAACCUUCAACAAAUAUGUGUGUGAGGUAGGAUUGAACUAUAACCAACCGCGACGAUUCACUUCUUGUGCCCAUUUACUUCUUUUGUUCUUCUUCUUGUGCAUCUUCUCAGCCUAUUCUUUUUGUUUUGUUUGUCCUAUUUUUCUUCAAUUUUACUUGUUUUCAUUUUCCUCAUUUAUUCUUCUUUUCUCUGUUCUUUUUUGUACAGGUCACAUUUCAACGUUUUUCAUUCUGAAAUUUUACACACAUAGACAUAACAUACUUGUUUACCUGCACAAUUUUUUUCAGAUUUUUUUGAAACCGGAAAGUUUGAAUUUUGAUUUGUUUCCAAAUAAAGGCCUCCAUGGCUCCCGGGAGCCAAACGUCCACAAUCUCAUUCUAGCAAACAAAUUUUCUUUCCAAAUACAUGUCUUUCUGAUAUGGUGAGACAAAAGCAGUUGGAAGUCAUAACACCACUUUGCCAUUAAGUUAAUUUGUGAAUAAAAAUUCAUAUAAGUUAAUUUGUGUAUAUAUCAUCUGAUUAGCUAUGUGUGGUAGAGCCUUAGAUCAGUACUAUGUUCCAAAUAUUCUCCUCCGCAUUUGUGUCAGUUAUAUACUUUCCCGGCCAGUCCUAGUUAUUUUGUGGUCAGAAAACUUGUCUCAUGUAACUCCAUGAACGAUUCAGACAUUUUUGUCAAGAAUUUUUGAUGUCAUCCUCCAUGCCUUCGCUUCCUCCUCCGUUGC